AUGGCUCACUAUAUACUCACUUAUAAAAUAUAUUUCACUAAUUGCAUAACUUCUAUUUUGAUAUGCCACUUUCGGUAAAUCAAACACGGACUUCCGGUAAAACUAACACCAACUUCCGGUGAAUAAACCACAGCUUCUAUAAACGCAAAUACGUAAUUUCUGCCACAUAACAUAUAUAUAUAUUUAUUGGCCGUUGUAUGAUACGUUAAACUAAACCUCACAACUGGUAUUUGGGAAGAUCCGUGUCAAUAAAUGGGAC
rnacentral:lncRNA from 1 species